GCGGGAGUGCCAGAGAGGAAAUGGACCGACAGUCCAAGUCGGCGGUUAGUCCAUCGCGGGUUCGAAUCCCGCCCCCCGCACCA
rnacentral:tRNA from 1 species